GAUGAACGCUGGCGGCGUGCCUAAUACAUGCAAGUCGAGCGAACGGACGAGAAGUUUGCUUCUCUGAUGUUAGCGGCGGACGUGUGUGUAACAUGUGGAUAAUCUACCUAUAAGACUGGGAUAACUUCGGGAAACCGGAGCUAAUACCGGAUAAUAUUUUGAUCCGCAUGGUUCAAAAGUGAAAGACGGUCUUGCUGUCACUUAUAGAUGGAUCCGCGCUUCAUUAGCUAGUUGGUAAGGUAACGGCUUACCAAGGCAAUGAUGCAUAGCCGACCUGAGAGGAGGAUAGGCCACAUUGGAACUGAGACACGGUCCAUACUCCUACGGGAGGCAGCAGUAGGGAAUCGUAGGCAAUGGGCGAAAGCCUGACGGAGCAACGCCGCGUGUGUGAUGAAGGUCUUCGGAUCGUAAAGCUCUGUUAUUAGGUAAGAACAUAUGUGUAAGUAGCUGUGCACAGCGUGACGGUACCUAAUCAGAAAGCAACGGCUAACUACGUG
rnacentral:rRNA from 1 species